AGUGAACGCUGGCGGUAGGCCUAACACAUGCAAGUCGAACGGCAGCACAGUAAGAGCUUGCUCUUACGGGUGGCGAGUGGCGGACGGGUGAGGAAUACAUCGGAAUCUACUUUUUCGUGGGGGAUAACGUAGGGAAACUUACGCUAAUACCGCAUACGAGCUACGGGUGAAAGCAGGGGAUCUUCGGACCUUGCGCGAUUGAAUGAGCCGAUGUCGGAUUAGCUAGUUGGCGGGGUAAAGGCCCACCAAGGCGACGAUCCGUAGCUGGUCUGAGAGGAUGAUCAGCCACACUGGAACUGAGACACGGUCCAGACUCCUACGGGAGGCAGCAGUGGGGAAUAUUGGACAAAGGGCGCAAGCCUGAUCCAGCCAUACCGCGUGGGUGAAGAAGGCCUUCGGGUUGUAAAGCCCUUUUGUUGGGAAAGAAAAGCAGCAGGUUAAUACCCCGCUGUUCUGACGGUACCCAAAGAAUAAGCACCGGCUAACUUCGUG
rnacentral:rRNA from 1 species